UGGGUAACCUACCUCAAAGAGGGGAAUAGCCUCCCGAAAGGGAGAUUAAUACCGCAUAAUAUGUUUAGGUCGCAUGACUUUAACAUCAAAGGAUUUUCUUUUAGAAAUUCCACUUUGAGAUGGACCCGCGGCGCAUCAGCUAGUUGGUGAGGUAACGGCUCACCAAGGCGACGACGGGUAGCUGGUCUGAGAGGAUGGCCAGCCACAUUGGGACUGAGACACGGCCCAGACUCCGUAGGGAGG
rnacentral:rRNA from 1 species